rnacentral:rRNA from 1 species
UGGGGAAUAUUGGACAAUGGGCGCAAGCCUGAUCCAGCCAUGCCGCGUGAGUGAUGAAGGCCCUAGGGUUGUAAAGCUCUUUCACCGGUGAAGAUAAUGACGGUAACCGGAGAAGAAGCCCCGGCUAACUUCGUGCCAGCAGCCGCGGUAAUACGAAGGGGGCUAGCGUUGUUCGGAUUUACUGGGCGUAAAGCGCACGUAGGCGGACUAUUAAGUCAGGGGUGAAAUCCCGGGGCUCAACCCCGGAACUGCCUUUGAUAAUGGUAGUCUUGAGUUCGAGAGAGGUGAGUGGAAUUCCGAGUGUAGAGGUGAAAUUCGUAGAUAUUCGGAGGAACACCAGUGGCGAAGGCGGCUCACUGGCUCGAUACUGACGCUGAGGUGCGAAAGCGUGGGGAGCAAACAGG